rnacentral:rRNA from 1 species
CUGGCUCAGGAUCUUCUUAGAGUUUGAUCCUGGCUCAGGACGAACGCUGGCGGCGUGCUUAACACAUGCAAGUCGAACGAUGACGACCGUGCUUGCACGGUCUGAUUAGUGGCGAACGGGUGAGUAACACGUGAGUAACCUGCCCUUCACUUCGGGAUAACCUCGAGAAAUCGAGGCUAAUACCGGAUAUGAGCUCGCACCGCAUGGUGUGGGUUGGAAAGUUUUUCGGUGAGGGAUGGACUCGCGGCCUAUCAGUUUGUUGGUGAGGUAAUGGCUCACCAAGGCGAUGACGGGUAGCCGGCCUGAGAGGGCGACCGGCCACACUGGGACUGAGACACGGCCCAGACUCCUACGGGAGGCAGCAGUGGGGAAUAUUGCACAAUGGGCGAAAGCCUGAUGCAGCGACGCCGCGUGGGGGAUGACGGCCUUCGGGUUGUAAACCUCUUUCAGUAGGGAAGAAG